AUCUGAUGGGCCUAGCGUGAUCUUUGGGUGGUUUUUCCUCUUCUUCCUCAGCUUCUAGGCUAGCCAUGGAGCGGUGCCAGACGGUGAGGGCCCUUCUGAAGGCCUGGGAGAUGGCAUUCCUUCAAGAACACAAAAGGAAACCCAACAAGAAUGAUGUGGAGUCAGCACCAGAGGAAAUGAAAGAACUCUACCGAGAAUACCGAGCCCUAAGGAGAGGCCAGGAGUCAGCAGGCCUUCCACAGCCCACCAACUCAGGCCAGAAGGGUGCACCUGCAGAACAGGUAAAUGGAAGGGGCCCAGAGCUGCAGUGAAUAAGCCUUUGAUUUUCUCACAGAAACUUGCUCAAGCUUGCUAUUCCCAAAGAAAGGGUUAAAUUAACACUGAUUAAAGGGGAAAUGGGAUGCUUUUAGGGGAAACUCCUCAUUAUAGACAGCAGAAAGAGUAUUGAAUAGGAAGUCAGUAGAUAAGGGUUCUAGUCCAGGCUCCAUCAUUAGUGACUAUGGAUGAGUAUCUUCUGUCAAGUGAGUGGUUUGGCUCAGAUGAUCUUUAAGGCCCUCGAGUGAACUUCCUAGGGUUCAGUUUCCUCAUCUGUAAAAUAAGGGAGUUAAAUGGGUCUGAGGUCCCUUCCGGCUCUAGACUGAUAAGCCUUCUAGUUCUAAUGAUCUGUUCUGUUUCUUUUUAAGUUAUGAAUUUCCUCUAACAAAAUGCUGCUUUGAUGCCUCUUCAUGACAUAGAAGUGAUGCUGGGAUUUUAAAGGCUCUCAAAAAAGUGUAGGUUUUGACCAUAGGUCUGACCAAGCUAAAGAGUCUUCAGGUAUAGACCCAGUGAUGACUAUAUGUCUGUCACUCAAAGGCUAGCCCUAGUUAAGUUCAAGAAGGGCUUAUCCCCAGGUUGGCCACAGGACCACAGCAACUGUCAAAGACCAUUUAUAGGAAAAGAGAAACCACACUCAUGGAACUAUAGAUCCUUGAAGUAAGAAUGUUACAGGCUUAUAUAACUUCACAGGAAAAAUG
rnacentral:lncRNA from 1 species